rnacentral:lncRNA from 1 species
AUGGAACUCAAAGCUUGCAUGUUAUUCUUUUUACAAAAUCCUCAAUUUUCAUCAAUCAUCAUGACAUAAGAUUUUAUGAUAUCCACUAGUAUAAAUAUUUUAAAUUGAAGAUCGAAUUCAUUCAUUGUAUUCAUAUAGGUUCAAGGAGUGUAGCUGUAAAAACUUAUCAAAAUCGAAGCUAAAAUAACCGUUAAAUCGUGAUUUUUAGUUAAUAAUCGUAGAAAAGUUUUGUUCCGUUACUUGAACUCUGAAUGUUUCUUUUUUGCAAUUUUUGGCGUAUGCAAUCUUGAAGCAUAUACAAACAAGUUUGAUGGUUGGAUCGUUGAAAUUAGUUUCGUAGAAUGUGUAUUCCAUCAAAACGAUGUAUUUACUAACACUUAGAAUUUAUUUAUACUUUCAUUAAGUAUAACAUAAGAUUUUGUGAUAUCCACUAGUGUAAAUAUUUAAAAUUGAAGAUUGAAUUCAUUCAUUGUAUUCAUAUAGGGUUAAGAAGUGUAGCUAUAAAAAAUCAUCAAAAUAGGAGUUAAAAUAACCGUUAAAUAGUGAUUUUUCGUUGAUAACCGUUGAAAAGUUUUGUCCCGUUACUAGAUCUCUGAAUGUUUAUUUUUUGCAAUUUUUGGCGUAUGCGAUCUCGAAGUAUAUACAAUCAUGUUUGACGGUCGGAUAGUUGAAACUAGUUUCGUAGAAUGCGUAUCCCAUCAAACAAUAUAUUCACUAACACUUAAGAGUUUAUUCAUACUUUCAUUAAGUAUAAUAUAAGAUUUUGUGGUAUCCACUAGUGUGAAUAUUUUAAAUUGAAGACCGAGUUCAUUCAUUGUAUUCAUAUAGGGUCAAGAAGUGUAGCUGUAAAAAAUCAUCAAAAUCGGAGUUAAAAUAACCGUUAAAUCGUGAUUUUUCGUUGAUAACCGUCAAAAUAUUUUGUCCCGUUACUUGAUCUCUGAAUGU